rnacentral:rRNA from 1 species
GACGAACGCUGGCGGCACGCCUAACACAUGCAAGUCGAACGCCCCUUUCGGGGGAGGUGGCGGACGGGUGAGUAACGCGUGGGAACCGUCGCCCCGUCGGUGGGGGACGAACCCAACGGGAAACCGUGGGCUGAUACCGCAUAAGCCCACGUGGCUGUAGUGGCCAUUGGGAAAGAUUUAUCGCCACGGAUGGCCCGCGUCGGAUUAGGUAGUUGGUGGGGUAACGGCCCACCAAGCCUGCGAUCCGUAGCUGGUCNGAGAGGACGAUCAGCCACACUGGGACUGAGACACGGCCCAGACUCCUAC